GGAGGUAUAGCUCAAGUGGUAGAGCACAUGCUUAGCAUGAACAAGGUCCCGGGUUCAAUUCCCAGUACCUCCU
rnacentral:tRNA from 1 species